rnacentral:misc_RNA from 1 species
AUCUAUUUUAAACACCAUUUUCUCUUUUUUAAAACUGUAGACUUUUAAACAUGUACUUUCCAUAUCAUAGAUUCAAUGGUCAUUUGACUGACUUUAUUCUAGUUCUUUGAUGGUUUUAUCUGGCUUGAAUAGUUAAGUAUGUUAGAGAAGGUUGUACAUAUAGAACUAUGUAUGUAUACACAUUGCUGUUCAUGACUUCUCCAGAACUCUCAUCAUCAUGGUCAUUUUGUUGUUAUGUAUGUCCACAUUGUUUAUUCCUGCAUCAUUUUUUUUAAAUUGUGAUGAAUGUUGUUAAAUAUAUAAAGAUCAACAAAAAAUAAAGAGCUGCUAUAAU